GGAUCUCUGAAAAGCACAGUUUGAAAAUCAAAAUGGAAGAUGUGUAAACUACUUUCACUUCUAAAACUGUAAUUCUAAGCAGAUCACAAUUUAUGAUUUCAGAAUUUCUAAAAUAGUUCGUAUCAGGAAAAAAACCAUUUCUUAUCACCUGGCCCCAGCAGGGAAACAGGUCAGUAUUACUAUAUUAUGUUCGGAGAAGCCAUGCUCUCCACCUCCACCUUGUGUGCUAGUAUCUGAGAUUUCUCUAUCCUCCAUGUGCUACAAAGAGAGAAUGCAGAGCCAAGAAGUGGGCCACACCAGCCACUCUGCCAGGAAGGCCCAGGUGCUCUUCCCAGCUUUGUCACCACCUAGCUUAAAUUUCUUCCGUAAAAUGGGAUAAUAGCAGAAAGACGAGUUGCUAUUCAUUGAACUUCUAAAAUGUGAUAUGCAAGCACUCUGAAUAGAUCAUGGCUAAUCUUCACAGCAGUGGUUCUCAAAAUUGAAUGUGCACCAGAAUCCCAUGGAAGCUUAAGACACACAUUGCUGGGGACUCCCAAAGCUUCCUGUCCCUUGGAUCAGGAAUAGGGCUUGAAAACAUGCACUUCUAACUAGUUCCCAGAUGCUGCUGAUGCUUCUGGUCUGGUGAUCACCUGUUGAGACAUACUGUUUUCCAGCUGCCUUGUACUACUCCCUAUCAUAAAUGUAAUAAAACCGAGUCUCAGACAAGUUCAAUGACUUGACCAAAGUCACACAGUCUAUCUCCCUACCCAGGUCUGCCACAUGUGUCUGUCUUUUGUGCUCUAAAGAAUUGUUUUGAAAAUUAAUGCAGGCUGUAUAAUUUUACAAGGGUGCUAUUUUGAUUUUUAAAUAGAAAAAUGUACAUUUCAUAAAAGAUGAAUAGACAGGACAAAUUUGGUCUUUUUAAGCAGGAAAAAAAAUGAGCAGGUAUCUGUGUAUGAUGUGAUCCUAAAAUAUAUGAACUUCACUUGAUCCCCUUGCUGUACAGUGGGAAAAAAAAUUUUUUUAAUAAUAAAUAAAUAAAUAAAAUAUAUGAACCUCAAUAACCCACCAGAUCAGUUGAGAAACAAUUCCAUGCUACUGGAUUACAGCUUGGAAUUGUAUGUCAGUUCAUAGAGAAGGGUCUACAUAACCCAUUACCGUUUUCUUACCCAUGAAAGACUCAGUAGAGCGAGCUCUUGCAAUGGAAGAUUUGAAAUACAGGCUAAUAAAAGGCACAAAAUGACAAUUGACUCAUGAAAGUUUGAAACCUCUGUUUAUAUUUUCCACAUUUUAAUAAGCAAGCAGAAAACUAAACCAACACAACUCUGAUUAAUCUAUUUUGAAUAAGGAAAAGUGAAAGUUUGAUGGGGGAGAAAAAAAAAAAACAUUUCCCUAACAACUAAUUUGAAAACCAGAAAGUCUCUCCCUUUCUCCUGUUGGCUUGGAAACAGCCAUUUCUCUAUAUUUCUUGAAUUCUUUUACUUUCCCAAAGGGUUUCCACUUAUAUUUAAAUGAAAAGUCAUUUCCCAGUUUUCUAUAGCCUGGAAAAAUAGAUCAACUAUGUCAAAAUGAAAAAUGUCACCUUAUAUACACUUAGCUUCCUUCAGGACAUGGGGGAAAAAUGAUGGUACUGGAAGCUGACCUGCGGAAGCCUCUGGAAAGGUCAGGAUGCUCAGCAGAAAACAAUGAUGCCAUUUUUCUUUCUACUUUUGUUAGCGUCCCUGAUGUUACUUUCACUUCUUGAGAAACCUACCUGUUUUCAGAACAGGAAAUGUGACCUAAUAUCCUCUCAGAUUUAGGAUCCUAAUAACAAACAAUGACAGAGACGAUGUGGAUAGUUUAGUUGCAAGUCUCCCGUUUAAAUGCACAAAAUAUCCAAAGUAUGAUAUAAACUCAUGUAACACUUAUCACAGUGCUUGGUCUAAACUGACCUCCCUGCAUCCUGGAAGCACAUCCUAACAGGAAGCCCCAAAGACCUACCCCUCCAAGGUGACUGCUCUUUAAGGCGCUGUUGUUCGAAACGUGGGGACAUGAGACAGUCAACCACCCUGGGGUCUCUCUUAUCUUGGCCUCUUCUGAUUAUUCUAGAUUACUCCAACAAUUUAUGAAUUGUUAAUAUGAUCAUUAGAAAGUUGCAACCUGUGAGUCCAGGAGAACAUCUCAUUAGUUUUCAUUUUCUCACCUUCAAUUCUGAAAGUUUUUAAAGUCUGUCUAUAUUUAUGGCCAAUUACUAUAGAUGAUUAGACCUUGUGCUAAUGAUCCCAAUAAAAAGACCAGGAGCACUGGAAUUGGAAAGCUCUUUCUAUCUUUAUAGAAAGUCCUUAACUUUGCUGGGCCUCAGUUUUCUCACCUCUAUAAUGGUUCCCGUCGUGGCGCAGUGGUUAACUAAUCCGACUAGGAACCAUGAGGUUACGGGUUCGGUCCCUGCCCUUGCUCAGUGGGUUGACGAUCCGGCGUUGCCGUGAGCUGUGGUGUAGGUUGCAGACGCGGCUCGGAUCCCGCGUUGCUGUGGCUCUGGUGUAGGCCGGUGGCUGCAGCUCCGAUUCAACCCCUAGCCUGGGAACCUCCAUAUGCCGCGGGAGCGGCCCAAGAAAUAGCAACAACAACAAC
rnacentral:lncRNA from 1 species